rnacentral:rRNA from 1 species
UACGUAGGGCGCAAGCGUUGUCCGGAAUUAUUGGGCGUAAAGAGCUCGUAGGCGGCUUGUCACGUCGGGGUGUGAAAGCCCGGGGCUUAACCCCGGGUCUGCAUUCGAUACGGGCUAGCUAGAGUGUGGUAGGGGAGAUCGGAAUUCCUGGUGUAGCGGUGAAAAUGCGCAGAUAUCAGGAGGAACACCGGUGGCGAAGGCGGAUCUCUGGGCCAUUACUGACGCUGAGGAGCGAAAGGCGUGGGGGAGCGAAACAGG